GGCUUCAGCCGGUUCAAUAUAGUAAUCACAUAAGUAAACUCUAAUGACGUGAAUAAACUAUAAGGGAAGAGAUGUAAACCCCUUGAGGUAUCAUUUCAUUAGUUAUUCUCGUGUACAUAAUGAAGUGUUAAACUGAUUUACCUCCACACCUGAGCUGGAGGUAACAGCGAUAUUUCAGAUAUGAGGGUCACCCACGUCUGGAGCCUCGUGAAUAUAAUCUUAAGAACAAGGAUGAGGUCAACCAGAAGACGGACGAUAACUAUAAGAGGUGUCUCGACAAGCAGGACUUCAAGAUCGCCAUUUUCCGAAGCCAUCUGAUGUGAGAACAAGACUGAGAUACCACAUUGAUUUACCUUCAACAAUGAACUUCCAAGAAAUGUUUGAUUAAUAUAUAAAUAUCUCUU